CUCAGGAAUAACCACCCCGCCUGCUCCCAUGUCCCCGGCCCCGACCUCCACACCAGAUGCCUCCGCCAGCCCCGCAGACGGGACCUCCCCACCCCCACUCGGUAAAGGCUCGCUCGCCAUGACCACGACGUUCAAAUCCAGGAGACCAGCUUCCUACUCGUCA